rnacentral:lncRNA from 1 species
AACUUCUUCCUCACUCCACUCCCUAACUUCAACAUCAAUGUUAUCCUCUAUUUUUUUCUCUUCAUCUUUUUUUCUCAUCCUCUCUUUUUUCACUCUCAUCUCUUUUUUUACUCUCACUAAUCAACUCCCUUCCACUUCUCGUCGUUAUCGCUUUACAAUGCUAUUUUGGAUUCGUUUGCGUGUUCGCCGAAAAAGAUGGUUCGGGUUGUUGUUCCGCUAGUUGUUUAGCAAGUUGACCGACUUGAGUUUCGAGAUUUUUGAUUGCCGCAUCGUUGCUCUUUUGAUUAGCCAUCGACAAUUGCAUAAAUUGUGUCAAUGUCUCUUCUAACUUUGAAGUCACGACCGGCGGUUGUUGAGGUUGGUAAGGAUUUUGACGGCUACAAGUACCACCCCCAUAACCUUGGUUAUGGUAAUAGUUAGCCCUUGGUUGGAACCCUAGAUUCCCUUGAUAGUGUUGUUAUUGAUUUUGAGGAUGUUGUUAAUACGGUUGUUGUUGUUGUUGCCUCGGUUGGUAGUCUCGUUGAUUCGCCAUGUAAUUCACCUCUUCGAACCUGGGAGGUGGACAAAAUUCGGUGUCAUGAUCACCCUUGCAAAGCUCACAACAAGCUAUUUGUUUAGCUUUUGAAGGCUCUCUCAACUCUUUUAUUUGUUGAGUUAAGAGUUCAAAUUAUUGUGAAAUGAGUUUAUUUUGGGCAAGAAUAGCAUCAUUUGUCCCAAGUUCAAGCACUCCCGGUUUCUUCAAAGUGUUGCCUCUACUUUGACUUUGGAGGUCAUUUAGAGCCAUACGGUUAAUGAUAAUUGGGCAAGAAUAGCAUCAUUUGUCCCAAGUUCAAGCACUCCCGGUUUCUUCAAAGUGUUGCCUCUACUUUGACUUUGGAGGUCAUUUAGAGCCAUACGGUUAAUGAUAUCAGUAGCUUCGUCGGCGUUUUUAGACAACAAAGAACCACCCGAGGUAGCAUCCAAUAAAGUCUUGUAAUUAGGUUGAAGGCCAUUCUUGAAAAUGUGGAUUUGCGUCAAUUCGUCAAAACCAUGCCCUUUGCACUUUCGAAGCAUGGAUUUAAAUAUUUCCCAUGCCUCAUUCAAUGAUUCGUUGGCUCCUUGCGAAAACACGGAGAUAGUCGUUUUGGAUUCCAUGAACCGGUUGUGGGAGAAAAAUCUUUCAAUGAACUUCUCUUCCAACACGUUCCAAUCCGUCAUGACUGCAGGUGUUUGAUCAAAGUACCAAUCUUUUGCUUUGCCGAGCAAAGCAUGAGGAAAUAGUCUUUUGAACAACGGUAGCUCUUGAGCUUGAUCAACUCCGGCUGCCAAUGUUAUCUCGUAAAAUUUGGUGAGAAAAGCAAAGGGGUCUUCAUGGUCCAACGGUAGCUCUUGAGCUUGAUCAACUCCGGCUGCCAAUGUUAUCUCGUAAAAUUUGGUGAGAAAAGCAAAGGGGUCUUCAUGGUCCAUUCCGGUGAAUGGACUUCCGUAUAGCAAGUUAAGAGUUCCCGUCUUCAUCUCGGCUUGCCUUCCUGCGUGGUUGGCAAAUCGAGCUAUAUUCCUCGGACUGUUGACACAUGGUGUGGAAACGGGCGGUGGUGGUGGUGGAUCCAUGGUAGGUGUGAAAGGUGGUGGCUGUGUUGUAGAAGAACCUUCUCCUUGUUCUUGUCGUUGUCUAGCUUGUUGCCUCCUUCGUCUCGUUCUGCUAUUCAGUCACCUUGCGGUUCUUUCGAUCUCGGGAUCAAAAAGAAGUUGGUCCUCAGGACCCUGCCCUCGCAUAAAACAAAAGCUUCACACUAAACUAAACAAAUUAACAAGCACAAGUCAAAAAUUCGGAAGUUAAAAAUUCAGCAACUAUUGCGAUACUCGCAAUAUCAAUUCACAAUCCCCGGCAAUGGCGCCAUUUUGUUGGUGUAAGGAUAGAGUAUCGGGAUUUGUUAUCGUCUCCACAGGGAUUAUGUGAUAUUGCCGCCGUUCGACAGUUGUUAAGUUCUUAACCUAUAGUAACAAGGGGGUUUUAGUUUUUGGUUACGGUAGCUUGUAUAAAAAGUAAGAAAUUGCGGUAAAAGUUUUGGUUUUACGAUUUGAGAAAGAUUGUCAAAGUUAGGGUUCGACGAUCACUUUGCAUGCAUAUGUUAGAUCAAACAAAACUCAUAAACUACAUUAGAUGAUAAACACAUUCACAAAGUCCUCCCAAUGUGUUUAUUUCUAACACACAUUGUGGUUUUUCCCAUUUUGAUCCAUUGUUGAUCUCUGACACAAUCUAUCAAAAUGACAACUUUUAGGUUUAACUUUUUUAGUGAACAAACUCAUUCAUUACUAUCUCUAGCUAAAGAACAAGGAUGGAUGAAAACCUAGGUCAAGAGUUGGAAAACACCUUUCAAAAACACCUUUCAAUCAUAAACCAACACAAAGAGUUAUCAAUAAAACAAAGUUUUCACCAUACAUUCAUCAUCAAAGAGUUUACAAAUGAAGAUCAACCCAUAUACAAACAAAGCUUAUGAUCAUCUAUAUCUAACCUUGACAAAAUGAAGGACUUAGCUACUCAUUUUCAUGGUAGCUUGAACAACAAGUUUCGGACGAAGGUUGAUCAACAUUCGAGUCGAAGAAUCGAGAUUGGAUGGGAAUCCACCUUCUUUUUGUAAAAUAUUGUCAAGAGAAGAAGAAGAAUGAGAAAAAUGGGUUUCUAGGGCAUAAAAAUCACCUCUAAGCCAAAAACAAGUAAAAAGAUGAUCCCAAGAAAAAAUGAAGAUCUUUUCCAAAAAGUAGCCCAUGCUACUUAUAGUACUGGUAUCUGAUCUGUCAUGCUCGCUAGGAGAGCAGAAUGGUUCGCCUAGCGAGCCCUAAAAUAAGCCACCAGAAUAGCCUGCGUCCAGAGGAGUCAUCCCAGACAAGUCUGCACUGUUCGCUAGGCGAACAAUCCUUUGCUAGGCGAAGCCCUCGCUUCUCUCAUUCGCUCCAGUGAGUUUUGAUGAUUUUGCUACUAGAAUUGCUCGCUACCUGCUCGUUGGAUGCUCGCCUAGCGAGUACUUAGCUACUUCCCUCGCCACAGCGACUGUUGAUGGUUUUGCUACUGGAAUUGCUCGCUGGAUGCUCGCCUAGCGAGUGUUGAUCUUUUUUGGCUCUGUCCAAGUCUGGGAGUGUUCGCUGGCAUCUCGCUGCGUGCUCGCCUAGCGAGUACUUCGCUACCUCACUCGCCUAGCGAGCUUGCUAAUGUUUGCUUUCUUUCUUGGUUCCUUUGCCAUCUUUCAUGUGCCAUAGUUUCCUACUCUUUCAUGCCUAAUUCCUGCACAAUAACACACAAAUUAAAGGUACCAAGAUCAUUUCACAUAGUAUUGCAAAUCAACAAAAGCAAGGGCGGUUUCGAACACUUUUUCGAUAAAAAAAACACACAAAUUAAAGGUACCAAGAUCAUUUCACAUAGUAUUGCAAAUCAACAAAAGCAAGGGCGGUUUCGAACACUUUUUCGAUAAAAAGGAGUGAAAGAUGCCCAUAUUUGAUAGCUCAAAUAAGCAAACUUGGGCAUCUAACAAUAGGUUGCCCUUGGUUGAUCAUAUUGUUAAAUCUCUUAAUGAUAGAUGAGACUUUUUAUUGCUUGAGGCUGCCUUUUCUUUUUGUUGUAUUGCAUUGUUUCAAGAGGCUUAAUUUGUGUAAGACCUCUAACGUACUUAGCACAUACAUUGUUAUUGACCGGCUUCAAAUAGGUGUGACUUUUACAUAAGUCCAUUUACGAUUGCUUAACAUAGCUCUAAAUUAUCCCCGACUUGAUUGAUUGAUCCUUUGAUCAUUAGCAUGCUAACUACUAACUUCUAACUUCUAACUUUUACAAUAUUGCACUUUAUUUCCUCGUUAUUUAAAUUCUCAAAAUUUUCUUUCCGCAAUUUACUUUUAUUGCUCACUUUAUUUCAAGCACUUUAUAUUUAUGUUCAUCAUUAUCCACUUACCCCAUGCAUCAUUUAUUUUAUGCCUUUCAUUUCUUGUUAUUUUCUUUAUUGCAUUAAUAGCUAUAAAGAACAAAAAUAUGAUAAAAUGAAAAUACCAAAAAGAUGUAUUCAUUUGUGACCUACUAUUGGACUUAGAGGACUCAUUAGGACCCUUGUAUUUGGACCUUGGAUCAUGAUUCUUGACCUAUUACUCUGACUUGGAAUUUUAUCAGUGACUUGCAAUCUUUUAAUGUAAGAAUGGCAUUCAUGGCACUACCCUAGGGAAGACAUGUUCUUAAUCUCAUUAUCCACUUGUUAGCUUAGGCGACUUUUCACACACAAGGUUUCUCUUGGGAUACCUUACAAUGAGACCGUUUAUUUCUCGCAUUGUUCUUUUUCAAAUAUCUAUGUAUCUCACCAUUUCAAAAUAAAUCAAUAAACCCUUGAUCCAACGUCAAGCGGAAUUUUCUUAAUCAAAUUCAAAAUACAAUAAAAAUACUAUUAGAAUUGUGCGCCACGAUCUUUAAGUGGUGGAGAAGGAGUGAGAAUGGAUCUCUCCUACCCUCACUCUGAGUAUUUUGGACAUAAUACGCUUGACUUGUUUGUCUAAAAUAUUCACCUCUGCCCAUAGUCUUUAGUGCAAUUCUAAUCAAGAAUAAUCCCUUUUCAAAACCUCAAAAAACAACAUCAACUUAUCAAACUCUUUCUACACCUUAGGGCAUCAUUCUACAGAUAUUUUCUUAAAAGGACAUGUUUCUUCCAUUCUACCACGGUAUAAACGACGCUUAAACCUCCCAUCCGUAAGCAUACAAGUAAAUGUUUAACUUCUAGAAUACGACCGAAGCGCGCCCUUUCUACCGCAAACAAACAAAUGCUUAAGUCUCCCAUCCGCGAGCAUACAAGCAACGUUUAAUUGCUAGAACGUGAACAUUAACACUGUUCACUAAAAACAACCAACAAAUAAACAUUUUCUACUUCGAACUACGGAGCUCUGAUUCUUCAUCCCCCAAUUAUGAUACGUAGGCACAAGGGCUCCAAUCCUUGACGAGCACAAUAAUAAAAAACCAAUUAUUUCCCUUUUUUUUCUCCCGAUAGCAAAUAAAGAGAUAAAUAAACACCCACACACGUAAACAACUUAGAUGGUUCCCAUCGAGUAUGAUGGAUGUGAGGGGUGUUAAUACCUUACCCUCGCAUAACCGACUUCCGAACCCAUAUUUGGUUGCAAGACCAAUCCUUUCCAUUUUCUUUUCCUUUAGAGGGUUUUAUCGAUUAUUUUCCCUUUCCUCUCUUAUAUGAGGAAUAAAUCAAAUCUGGUGGUGACUCUAUGUCAGCUAACAUAGUGGUCAGUUUUCGCAUAGCGACCUCUACAACAUGGACCAUCAUCUGAUGGUCCAGGCCACCAAAACCUUGACUAUGAGGACGCUAACCUUGACCACCAAUCGACUGACCUAGAAAAGAGUGCGCCGACACCAAAGACUCCAAAUAAUGUUAGCAAGUCCUAAGGAAAUCAAGAUGACGGUCCAAUACAAGAGGAACUAAAUCUUUGAAGAGGUUAAGAAAAUCAAAGUCUUAUCCAACCUCAGCCUGAUGUGGUCGAGAAGGAGCGAAACCAAACAUCUCCUGCUUCAAUGCCUUCAUCAACAUCCAACGAAAGUCCAAGUUCGGCUUCUUCAUUUAACACUUUCAACACCAGUCUCAAUCAUGGAAGACUAGAGCAUGUUAACAAGAAGAUCCCUAUAUAAUCUUUCAAGAUGCUCAUAGGUAGUCGAGGGGCUUCGAUCAAAAAAUAUCCCAACUCUCUACCAGCUCCAAGCAUCGAACCUUCUAGUGAUUUUUUUGUUGAGCUAACCCAACAGUUGAAAACCAAGAUUAUCGAUAUGGAUCUAUUUCAGCCCAUAAAAGAUAAUCCUUCAGCUCUCUGUGAAAUAACAGGAUUUCUAGCAUAACUGAAUUAGCCAUAGGUGUAUAACUCUAUUUCCGGCUUUAUUCUUAAGUUCAAACUAUUUCUUAAACAAACUGUUUAAAAUGUCAGCUAAAAAAGGAAUCUGCUAAAAGACUCGACCGACAGAUUAACGGAAUGUCUCAGCAAUAAGACUUAGUCACUCUGUCUCAAACUCAAUUCAAUGAGUGGGAAUCAAAGGUUAAAGUAGGCAAUGAUCGGCUGACUACUUGUGAUACGAAUAUUCAAAUAUGGGCGCAAUAAAUGGACGAGUUACAUCAAAAAAUAGAAGCAACAGAAAGGGAGAAAGUUGAGAUUGAUACUUCACAAUUAGCCUUUGUCGAGGAAAAACUGGUUGAAAAAGCUAAGAUUGACAUUCAGCACGCUAAAACUGUUGUGCAAUAGAGAAAGAAGUCAACAAGUUGAAGACUAAAGACUCGAUGGUUUACAAGAAGAUUCGACUUGCCAAAUCGUGCUUCGAGAAAAUGAUAGCUAACUUCCCUUCUUGAAAUUUUUGACUAUCUAUAACUGUAUUACCAUUGUAUUAAUGACUCUACCAUUUGGGCAUUUUUUGAAUUAAUGCCAUUUUAACAUUCUAUAAUUUCCAUGCCUUACUACUCUCAUACUAUGUGAAUUUAAUGUAGUAUAGGCUUGUACCUUUUUAAUUACUUGCCAUUUAUCCUAAGAAUUUGACUUUCAGGACCUAACUAUUUUGAUCCAUGGGAAGAAUAACCUUCCAAACAUAACCCAUAACUACAAAGGCUUUCGACUUAACCUUUUUGUUGUAGGCUUUAUAUAUUUUUUCCUUUUCUAUUGUAAGGACAUAUAAAGAAACUAACCUUUCUUCAUAUAAAUUGACUAACUCAUCUAUCAUCAUUUUCCAAUAAUGGUCGAAUGGGAUUUCAUCUUUCCUUUUGAUUCUAAUAGACUUCAAGUAAAUCUCCAUAGGCGAGACUGCAUCAUGGCCAAAUGUCAGUCGAAAGGGAAUAUAAUUAGUUUCUUCUCUAGGAGACGUUCGACAAGCCCAAAGUUAUUUAUCCAAAGUCUUAUGCCAAUUUCUUGGCUUUUGACCCACAUGUCUCUUCAUUAGACCUAUUAUAAUCUUGUUGGAUGUUUCGACUUAGCCAUUUGCUUGAGCAAAAUAAGAGGUAGAAGUCAGAAGUUUAAUUCCUAACAUCGAAGCAAAUUCAACCAUCUUUCGUCUAGUGAAAAUUGAACCUUGUUUAGUGGUUAAAGUUUGAGGGACUCUAAACCUAUAAAUGAUGCGCCUUUGAAUAAAGUUGAUCACAACUUCUUGAUCGACAUUUUCCAAAGGCAUAACUUCAACCCAUUUGGUAAAGUAGUCUAUGUCUACGAAGAUGUACCUAUGGCCUUUGGAUGAUGCAAGUUGAAUUUCACUUAUUAAAUCUAAUGCCCAAGCUCUAAAGCCAAGGCUUAACAGUAUAAUGUGAUUCACCUGCAGAGACGUGUUGAAUACCUACAUGUUUUUGACAGUCUUGGCAACCUUUAGCAAACUAGAUACAACCCUUCAACAUAGUAGGCCAAUACAAAACUUGUCGAAACAAGAGCCACUUCAUCUUAUGACUUGUUUGAUGAGGGCCACAUGAUCCACUAUGGACAUUGAAAACUGUCAAAUACACUUCGCUUUUACUAAGGCAUUUAAGUACAACUCCUUCAAGAGUCUUUUUAAACAUUUCAUUCUCAAUAACAACAUAACUCAAUUCCUUGUAUUUGAUCUUUCGAUUUGUCAUUCCUGUUGGAUCUUCCAAAAAAUCUAUAAUUGAUUUUUGCCAAUCAUUAUUCGACAAAUUGUCAAUUGUAAAAGUUUUAAAAAUUUCAGAACUUUGCAAGUCUUUCAACCUUUCUACCAACACCAUUUUUUAUUUUGACAAUUUUGAGGGGAGAAUACUAUAACCUGAAGCAAUUUUUACAAAGUCAUUAGCCUCUUGAUUUUCUAGUGGAGGCACAUGUUUGAUGUCGACUGAAUUAAAUCUUUUUAAUAAUGAGUUGGCUUUAACGAAGUACAUCAAUAAAUUCUCUUUGGUGCAUUUAUAUUAUUUUUUUAAUUUCUUCACAACCAACUGUAAGCCGCCUUUAAUUUCGACUCCUUUUUCCCCCAAGUCUAAGAAGAUGAUAAGGUCUGCAAUUAAGGCUUUAUAUUCAGCCUCAUAAUUAGAGCAAUAACAUUGGAUUUUGAAUUUGAACAUGGAUGGAAUCCCUCUGAGGGAAAUAAUCAGAAUAAUAAUACUAGUUCCAUUCUUGUGUCUGGAUCCGUCGAGGUAUAACGUCAUGGAUUUUUGCUUAACAUAACUUUGUGCCACUUUGACUACUGCAUGUUCCAUAAUGAAAUCAGCCAUAAUUUGACCUUUCAUGGCCAUUAAAGUAGCAUAAGUUAAAAAAUAUUUAGUUAAAGCCAAAGCCUAUUUUCCAAUUCAACUAUUCAGAAUAGGUUUUGAUAGCAUAUCUUUAAUAACAUCAAAAUGAGAAUAGAUGAAAACAUAUGUUGGAUUUAUAUAAUAUUUUAAUUUUGUACAAGAGAAAUAUAAAAAUAGAUAAAAUUUCUCUAUUGGGUUAUAUCUAAUUUUUGCAUCAUUUAAAACUCGGAUGGGGUAAUAAAUGGCCCUUUUGAUGCCAUCAUCAUCCUCUUGUGCUAACGUACUGUCUAUUGUCGAAUCAAAUGAAGAAAUAUAUAAAUUCAUUGGUCUACUUCUCUCAGUCGGUAAAAAUAUAAGAGGAUUCAACAUGUAUAUCAUAAUCUCCUCGAAGGCAUUUUGAUGCUCUAGUUCCCAUCUGAAUCCUUCUUCUUUCUUUAAUCACAUCAGAGACGAAUUUUUUGUCUUGCCACUUAGAUUGAAAGUGAACCUCCUAAAGAAAUUUAUAUUCCCAAGUAAAGAUUGGAGUUGCUUCUUAUUUUAUGUUGGCUUUGUAUUGAAUAUAGCCUUUUUUUCUUCUGGUUCAUUUCUAAGCUUUUCUUGUGAACUACAAAGCUCAAAAAGUCAUCUACAUGAAUACAAAAAACGCAUUUUAAUGGAUUCAUUUUAAUUCCAUGUUUCCUCAUCCUUUCAAGGAUUGUCAAUGGUGGUCUAAGUGACCAGUUUUUGACGAGGAUUUAAUGACUAUAUCAUCAAUGUAUAUGUGUAUAAAUAUCUCGAUGAAAUCAUGAAAUAUAUUAUUCAUCGCCCUUUGAUACGUCACACCAGCAAUCUUUAGGCCCAAAGGCAUUACUACCCAUUCAUAAGUUUCUGAGGCCCCAGGGCAUCGAAAUGCCAUAUUCGAAACAUCCUCCUCUACAAUGAAAACUUGGGUAUAUCAUGAAUAACCAUCUAAAAGACUUAAACACUCAAAGCCUACCAAGGUUUUUUUCUGAUUUUUUUUCGAAAUUUAGAGAGUUUCUUAUAUAUUAGUUUAAGUAAAAUUUAAUUCAAGUUUUCAUUUUAUCUAAAUUUAAUUUUACAAACAAUUUUACUUAAAAUUCAUUUUUAAAAACAUGAAAUCUUUCGAUUUUACUAGUUAAACUACAAAUUUAGGAACACUAUUAAGCUUUUAAUUAUACAUGGCAACGACGAGAGACUAGAACAAUUUUUGCCUUAGUUAAAUCCAAAUUUGAUUUUUUGGUAAAUUUAUAUUUUCUACCUCGAUCUUUGUUUUGAACAAAAAAUUGAACUUCAAACUCGUUUUAAAUAAGUUCGGGUAUUUCCGCCAUGGUCACAUACUAUAGUGUAAAUAUUUUUUAUAAAGAAAUAGUUAAUUUUUUCAAUAUUAAAUUAUAUUACAAAUAAAAGAUAAAAUAAUUUCGAAAAAAUUUCAAUCAUACAUUUUAAAUAUUUUAAAAAGUAAAAAUAAAAACCAAAAUAUCAUAGUGUCGACUAUACAACUAAUAUAUUAUAUUAUCUAAACUAAAAAUAAAAUAGAAAUUAAUAUAAAUGGAAUUGAUUCGAAGUGAAUUCGGUCCAAAUCUGGAUUUUUUUUAAAAGGCUUAAUAUAUGUUUUUGUCCCCUUAACUUAAUUUAAUGUUCCGCUUUAGUUUCUUAACUAAAAAAAUAUUAUAAGUUAAUCCUUUAAGUUCACUUUUGUUAUCUUAUUUGGUCUCUUCCGUCAAUUUCUAGAAAAAAAUGUUAAGUUUUGAUGACGUGGCAUGACAAUAAGGUCAUUGGUACAAAUCUGAUUCAACAUAUAUAGUUAAAAAGUGAUAUAUAAUUUAAACUGCGGAGUUCCCCCAAAAAUAAAACCCCCGUAAUUUAAAUAGUGUAUCAAUUUUUAACUACAUAUGCUGACUCAGAUUUGUAACAAUAGUCUUACUGUCAUGCCACGUGAACAAAACUCAAUAUUUUUUUGUCCAAAAUUGACUGAAGAGACCAAACAAAGUAACAAAAGUGAAGUUAAAGGACUAAUUUGUAACGUUUUUUGUUAAGUGACUAAAACGGAAUAUUUAAUUAAGUUAAGGGACUUGAUUACUAAUUAUGUCAUUUUUAAAAUAACCAUAUUUUUCAUAAAUAAAUAUUCUAAAAUAACCAUAUUUUCAAAAAAAAAAACAAAUUAACCAUGUUUCAAACAAAAAAAAAUCCGCCCCUAAGAGGAUGUGCCACAGGUAAUGGCGCAUGCACUAAUAUUUUGGCAUAAGACACCAUAGGCUAUGGUGCAUGCCCUUAGGAGUAGAUAAAGGGUGUGGUGCAUGCAUUCCACUUUUAGGUGCAUGCGUCAUUGCCUGUGGCUCCUGUGUUGCUUUUGUUUUUUUAUCUAUAGAUCAUUCCCUCCUCAUCACUUUCCAUCCAUCUUCUAAUUCUCUCCUUCAGUUUUUCUUCAAAAUGACGUGCUAUAUUAUUAAGAGAAAUGUCAAUUUGAUUUAUUCAGUAGUAAAGCCUCUAAUAAUGAUCAGACUCUAGAACACGGAGACUUUCAAGCAUCUUUAGAGGAACUUGAUCUGUUGGUUAGAUGGAGACAUUGUAAAUGGUGAAAAGAUCAGAAGAAUUCAAGGUUUGUUAUGGUGUAUAACAAUAAUGGAGAAAAUUAUAUAUGAGAGUCAAUUAAAACUAACAGUGAUUGUCGUAUUAUGAUGCAUAUUUCAGAGGAAAUUGCUCUGAUGGUUGUAAUUGCAUAUAUAUGUUGUUUAAUCAUUGUAUUUGGUUGUCUUGUUGUUUAGUUGUUGUUUAAAUUAUUGUUUAGUUGUUGUUUAAUUUAUUGUAAUCGAAUGUUGUGAUCUGUAUGAAAAGAAAGUUAUUUUUAAUAACAAAUAAAAUGGUUACAUAAAAUGAUUUACAUAUAAAAUGUAGGACUAAAAGUGGAUUAAUUAUGUUGUGGAGCUUGAUCCAACAUUGGGACAGUUUGUACGAUUGAGUUUGGGAUGACGACAUAAACGACAUAAUCUCACCAUUUUAUUCGUUGUAUCCAUUUUGGUUCGAAUACACGUGCUACUAUGGCGACCAUUUUUAUUUCUUUGCAUAUUUUCAUUUGCCAGACUAUGUCCCCUCGAUAUGCAAGCCAAUAGUCCUCCUUUUCUACCACCGGAAAGCUAUUGUUGUACACAUUGCAUAAGUUUAUGACUUUGUAAAUGGAGGAUAGUAAGUUAGAAGGGUCCUUCUGAACAUGUGAACAUGUCGUUAUGACAUGGGAGCAAGGCAUACAGAAGGCUUGGAAAUUUCCGCAAUCGCAUCAACCCUUAUCUAGUUUGACCUGAUAGUAUCUCAUAUGCCUCCUCUCAUUGUGGUCCAAUUCCUCAUCUACAAUGAACCAACCUUUACGACGGUCAAACACGGUGACCAUAUAAUGAUGAGGACAUAAGCCAACAAGACAUAAGUGAUGCAAUUCAAAGCUUAGGCAGUCAUAUGACAAGGGCACGUGCUAGGAAGGUCAAUAGGCGUUAGUGCAAUUCAUGAUUAAUUCAAUGGAGGACGAGGACCUAGUUGAAGGAAAGGAGCCAAAAUUGAGUUUAUCAUCCAAGAACACUACAAUGGCGUGAAAAUGGGGCAUGCUACCUAUUUUUAAUAGUUUUAUUUUAAUCAUUAUGUAAUAAAAGUGUAAGGGACCAAUUUUGGCCCAAAAACACUAAGUUAGAAUGUGUGUUUAAUCCAUUUUAAAGCAUCCAAAGCUUUAAAUGGUGUUUAUUUGAUUAAAGUUCGUGCUAAUAAGGUACUGAAGUAAGAGGAGUGCAAAAGUGAUCAUGAGUAUUCAAAAGGAGAGAGAAUGUGGACCUGGUUAUAAAAGGAAGGUAUUUAAGUGGUGUUGUCAAUCAUUAAGAGUAAUGAAGUGCUAUUAUUCAGCACUAAAAGUGAGGAAAUAAAUUUGUAACCAUUCAAGCAUUACUUGAUCCGCCCCACACUUAUUGUAGCAGACCAAACACUCAUUACCAUUCAUUUUGCAAUCUUUUUGUAACAGUUUUGUAAUAAUUCGGCCUAGACAUUAAUGUUAGAGUUAUUGGCUGAAUUUAAUGAGUUUCCUUUGAAAUUAUAAUUUACUUUCACGUGACCUACACCUAUAUAAGGGAGGCACCAUUCAUGAAUAAAAGGGCAGAUGAAUUUUAUUUAAAAAAAUAUCAGUUUGAGUGAAUUUUGUGAGCAUUGCUCCCUUGGUUCUGGAUUGGACCAAAUAUCGAUCUUAUCAAGAAACCAAGUUUCUUAUGGCGAUCUACACUUGGCUUAUCAUCCUUGCUAGCAAUAGAAAGGGUGUGGCUCCCCAUCUCUAUCUUUUCGAUUAACUUCUUUUCAUUUCACGUGUUUUGCGUCAAUUCUACCCGAAAAUCAUUUUCGUUAAAAGUAAUCAAUUUUCAUACUAAAUAUUCAUUCAUUACAAUCACAAGCCUACAAAAAUUCGAAAUUAUAAUUCUUAUUUUCGUGUGAAUCAAAGAAAUGGACAAAAUCACAAUUUAGUAGCCAUCAAGUGGUAAUCAGAGCAAGGUUCGAAUAGGACCAUUGUUCAUUGCAAAUCCCAAUUGUAUUUCUUCUUAGUUUCUGUUUUGAAGUUUUAAAAUAAUUAUUAAAAAAUAUCCAAAAAAAUUAUAUAUGUAUUCUGGUUGUGAAACUUGUGAUUAUUCAAGAAUUAUUUGCUACCGCACUCUAGUUUUGAUUAUUCUCACGUUUUUUUUCCUCUACUUUGUGUCUUUGUUUUCUUCUUUUCCUUUCAAUUUCAAGAUUUGUGUGUUUUACCAUUUGAAAAUUGUUUUUCUUGCGUGAUUGAAUUUGGUUUCUUUAAAGAACUGAAAAGAGUAUUGAGUGGAAAAGGGCAAGAGUGUUCAUUACAAAAAAGCCAAAUUUGAGUGUAAACAUGUGAGGACAAUUUUUUCUUUAUUGUGUGAUAAUCAUGUCAAAUGAUGAGGAAGGAAUCCCCAAUAGGUUGUUGUUGGAGGCUCUUACAACAAGAAUGCAAAGAAUGUUGAGAGAAGAAUUAGAGGGGAUACAUGAGAGGAUUGAUCGAGUAUAAAAUUUAGUAGCUAGUGGUGAUGAGAGGGAAAGAAGGAGGAGAAGGCGUGAGGAGAUGCCUAGGGAGAACAUAUUGAGUGCAUAAAAAUUAAAGUGCCACUCUUUAAAGGGAAAAAAUGAUCUGGAGGCUUACUUAAAGUGGGAAACUAAAAUUGAACAACUUUUUUCUUGUCACAAUUAUAUUAAUGCACAAAAAGUGCAGGUUGCUGUCAUUGAAUUCAUAGGUUAUGCCUUGGUGUGAUGGGAUCAACUUGUCAAAGAAUAGCGAAGAUAUGAUGAACCAACCAUUGAAACUUGGGAAGAGAUGAAAAGAAUCAUGAGGAGGAGAUUUGUGCCAUCUUAUUAAAAUUGGUAUUUACACAAUAAAUUAUAAAGACCCACUCAAGGCUCUAAAAGUGUUGAUAAAUACUACAAGGAGAUGGAGCAAUCAUGGCUAGUUUUCUUCAUGGCCUAAAUUGGAAGAUAAUGAAGCAAUCAUGGCUAGUUUUCUUCAUGGCCUAAAUUGGAAGAUAAUGAAGCAAUCAUGACUAGUUUUCUUCAUGGCCUAAAUUGUGACAUAAGUGACACUGUGGAGCUGCAACAUUAUUUGGAGAUAUAGGACUUAGUGCACCAAGAAAUAAAAGUAGAGAAACAACUCAAAAGAAAGAGCCAAACAAGGAGAAGUUCCACCACUUUCAAUUCUUCAAUUUGGAAAGACAAUCUAAAGAAGGAGGGUGCUUCAUCUUCAUCAUAUAAGGAGACCACAGUUGAAACCAAAGGUAAAGCUAUGACACCUUCUCAAAGUGUUUCAACUAACAAAAAAACCACAUGUUUCAAGUGACAAGGCCAAGGGCAUAUUGCAUCUCAAUGUCCAACUAAGAUAAUUAUGCUUAUGGAGGAAAACGAAGUAGUUGUUGAAGAGGAAGAUGAUAAGAAUGUUGAAGAGUGUGAUUGGGAAGAAGAAGAAGAAAUAACUAGUGGAGAGUUACUUAUGGUGAGGAGAAUGUUAGGGAACUUAGUCAAAGAGGAAGAUACCACUCAAAGAGAAAACCUUUUCCACAUAUGAUGUCUAGUUCAAGGAAAGGUAUGUUCUUUAGUUAUUGAUGGUGAGAGUUAUACUAAUGUUGCUAGUACUCGGUUAGUUUCAAAGCUUAAUUUAGAGACAAAACUUCACCCUAAUCCAUAUAAGCUUCAAUGGCUUAAUGAAAGUGUUGAAAUGGUUGUUAAUAAACAAGUUGAGGUUUGUCUUAGAAUUGGGAAGUAUGAGGAUAUGGUGUUAUGUGAUGUAGUACCUAUGGAGGCUAGUCAUUUGUUGUUAGGGAGGCCUUGUCAAUUUAAUAAAAACACUAGUCAUGAAGGGUAUUCCAACAAAUACUCUUUUAUUCAUCAUGGACAAAAUAUUAUUCUUGUGCCAUUGAGUCCUAGUGAGGUGAGAGAAGAUCAAAAGAAAGUGAGAGGAAAAAAAUAGCAAGAAAGAAAAGAAAAAGAAAAGAAUGAAAAAGGAAAAGAAAAGAGUGACAAAAGAAAGAAUGAUGAAAAGAAGAAGCGUUUGAUUGCAAAAAAAAGGAGAGGUUAAAAAUGCAAUUGUUUCACAACAACCCUUAUAUUUUCUAUUUUACAAAGAGGUGGCGUUGUUAGCUAACACUCUUAACACAAUUUUUUUCCUAGUUGUGUUUAAACUCUUUUGCAGGAAUUUGAAGACAUGUUUCCAAAGGAGGUGCCAAGUGGUUUACCACAAUUAAGAGGAAUUGAGCAUCACAUUAAUCUCAAUCCGAGAGCAUCCUUGCCUAAUAGGCCAGCUUACCGAAGCAACCCACAACAAAUAACAAACUCAAGAAAUACAAAGACAAGUGGUUGAUUUGGUAAGUAAAGGAUUGGUAAGAGAAAGUCUAAGUCCAUGUGUUGUUUCGAUAAUUUUAGUUCCAAAAAAAGAUGGUAGUUGGAGAAUAUGCACCGAUUGUAGGGCGGUUAAUAACAUUACCAUUAGGUAUAGGCAUCUCAUUCCUGGGUUAGAUGACUUGCUUGAUCAAUUGUUUGGUGCAUGCUUAUUCUCUAAAAUUGAUUUGAAAAGUGGGUACCAUCAAAUUAGAAGGGAGGGGGACAAAUGGAAAUCAAUUUUCAAAACAAAAUAUGGUUUAUAUGAGUGGUUGGUUAUGCCAUUUGGACUAACUAAUGCACCUAGCACUUUCAUGAGAUUAAUGAACCAUGUUUUGAGGGAUUUUUUGGGUAAAUUUGUUGUUGUGUAUUUUGAUGAUAUCUUAAUAUAUAGCCAAGAUUUAGAGGAAUAUUACAUUCACUUAAGGGCUGUUUUACAAGUGUUAAGACAUAAAAAUUUAUAUGCAAAUUUGGAAAAAUGUGUCUUUUGCACCGAUCAUGGGAUUUGCUUAGGUUUCAUUGUAAGCUCUAAAGAAGUCCAUGUUGAUGAAACCAAGGUGAAAGCAAUUCAAGAAUGGCCAACGUCCAAAAAUGUAAGUGAGGUAAGAAGCUUUCAUGGCUUAGCUAGCUUCUAUAUGAGGUUUGUAAAGGAUUUUAGUACAUUGACUGCACCUCUUAAUGAAACGUUAAAAAAGAAGUUGGUUUUAAAUAGGAUGAAAAAUAAGAGCAUGCUUUUGCUGCCUUUAAAGAGAAACUAACUCAAGCACCAAUUCUCGCAUUGCCAAAUUUUUAUAAAUCUUUUGAAAUUGAGUGUGAUGCAUCCAAUGUUGGAAUUGAGGUUGUUUUGAUGCAAGAAGUUAAUCCAAUUGCUUAUUUUAGUGAGAAAUUAAAAGGGGUUGCCCUAAAUUACUCUACUUAUGAUAAGGAAUUGUAUGCCUUAGUUAGGGCAUUGCAAACUUGGUAACAUUACCUAUUGCCAAAAGAAUUUGUCAGUCAUAGUGAUCAUGAAUCUUUAAAACAUUUAAAAAGGAAAGGUAAGUUGAACAAGAGACAUGCAAAAUGGGUUGAAAUUUCUUGAAAUUUUUCCAUAUAUGAUUAAGAACAAGAAAGGUAAGGCUAAUGUGGUUGCGGGUGCACUUUCAAUGAGGUAUGUUUUACUUUCUACUCUUGAAACAAAGGUUUUUGGUCUUGAGCAUAUUAAAGAGUUGUACGAGAGUGAUCUUGAUUUUUCUCCAAAAUAUUUAGCUUGUGAGUAUGUUGCACUCAAUGGAUUUUUUUAGGCAUAAUGGCUAUUUAUUUAAAGAAAAGACACUAUGUGUGCCCAAAAGUUCCAUUAGAGAAUUAGUAGUGAAUGAGAUGCAUAAGGGAGGGUUAAUGAAGCACUUUGGAGUUUCUAAAAGUCUAGAAUUUUUGAAAGAACAUUUGUAUAUGCCUCAUAUGAAGAUUGAUGUGUAAAUUUUUUGUGAAAAAUGCAUUGUUUGUAAAAAGACCAAAUCAAAAGUUAUUGUCAUACCCCAAUUUUGUCUGGGCAUAUUUAAAUUUUUGUAAAAUUGAUUUCAUUUUUAAUUUGCAUCAUAUGCACAGCAUGACAUGCAUUUCAUCAUAAAUAAUACCUAAAAUAUCAAUCGGAAUAAGUUUAUUGAGAAUACAGACAAAUCGGUUAAAUUGUUUCUCAAGAAUGUGCAAAAUCAGCGGGUAAAAAGUUUUAAAAUUAAAAUUGCAGACGCCAGUAUUAUUCAUCUAUGGUUCACGUAGUUCAACCUAGUGUGCUCAUUAUAUUUUCCAGCGGCUGUUUCGGCUGCAUUUUGAACCGUCUGACCCUUUUAACCGGUGAAAAUUUAUUUAAAAAAUUAAGGAAACGCUGUAUUUUUUCAAUAAGUAUAUUUUGUGCUGGUCAUUUUAGUGCGUCCGAUUUAAUUUUUUGAGUAAAUUUCCGCCCAAUUUUCAUUCAUUUUGGAUCCCAUUAUUUUUAUUGUUCUAAUCAAGAUAUCAUUUGAAUAAAUUAGAAUUAAUUAAAUAAUUAGUUUGAAUUUAUUUUUAUGAAUUGAUUCUAUUUUCAAAAUAAUUACUAACACUUUAUAAUUUCCAAAAUUUAAAAAAAGUGAAGAUAAUGAAGCAUUUACGUUUGAUCAUCUACACAAUUACACAUUGACAGCUAGCGAGUCAUAAUAGAAUUUUUCUCCUUAUCCCAACUGGACACGUGGCAUGAUUGGAUUGGAGGGUGAAAAUGGUAUUCACCCCACUAGAGGACAAAGAUGGAUCACACUGAGGGAAAAAGAGAAUCCAAGGAAAAGGAGGAAUUUUCGGACCUCCCUCUCUCUCACCUCACGCAAUAAACACUCACCUCACUCACAAACUUCACAUUCACUCUCUCUUCUCUCACGACACUCAAAAAAAGAAUUUAAAAAGAAAACACUCUCUCUCUCACAUGAUUCAUGACCUGCCUAGCUAUCUCCUCACUCAUACGCUCACUCUGAAGGAAAAGAAGAAAAGAGAGUAAUACUCCUUCUUUCUCAUAAUAACCCUCUCACUCACCAAUAAAAAACAGAAGAAAAAACAAAAAAUUGGCUGAGCUUUUUUCCUCUUCUUCUCCACACCACCUUGCGCCGUCACAGCCACAAUCGCCACCGCCACAAAACCCUCCGCAUCUUCCUCAAUUUCAGUUUCUCCUUCCGGCGACACACACCACACUAAUCUCUGACCUUCGCUGCUCCACCUCCGCCUCUUAACAUCUCGCUCCGUCCACAACCCAUCUUCAUCAUUCACCUCCACCACAAAAACCCACACGCCGGCGGACUCAAACAACCACACAACACACGUCGCUGGCAAAAAACCCUUCUCCAACCGCCGUGAUCUAAAGCCGAUGAACACCACUGCCGAAAACUCACAACCUCCGUUAAAACUUCUUCAUCUGCGAGAAACACCAAUAAUUUUCCGUCCACCGAUCUACUCAAUUCCGACACCGCACCACCGUUCCCCUUCUUCCUCACCACAAAUUGUUAACUUCGUUCAUCUUCUUCUUCUUCCACCGUGCAACUCACAGAUGUGACAACAACAAUCAAACUCCGUUCAUCUCUCUUCCACAAAGCCGCGGAUCCACCAAACAACCACUCCUUCAGUUUCAGUCGCCGUUAAACCACCGCCGCGACACAAUAACACGUUUGUCACCCUUCGCCGCGAACCGAUAACAACAACGCAAUUGUCUCUCUCUACACACCCUUAAAUCUCGCAGGAAACAACCUCUUCACCGUGUUUUAGAUCUAAUCUUGGCGCAUUCAAAAUAUCUAGUAACAACGUAAUCGAUCUCAAUAAAGUAGUCCUUGGAAUUUUUGGUUGGGUCAAUUUGGAUCGGGUUUCAGUUGGUAUGAGUUCAACAAAAUCGACAUCCUAAGUCUGCAACAGUAACAUUCGAUUUUAUUGACCAUGUUGAUUAUUGUUCCGACAUAUAAUUUCGAUAUGCUUUAAAGUUUUCAUUUACUACUUUGUUCCUUAUCAUUUGAUCUCUGAUGAUGUAUUAGGUUUAUACAUAAUAGGUUGCUAUUUGUUCUGAGAUAACAAAGUCAAGCUCAUUUUAUUUUUCAAACUUUUGAUUUAUUAUUAUUAUUAUUAUUUUAUUUUUAUUUUUUAUUUUUAGUAUUAUAUGUUAAUGGGUACUUUAUUUGUUCUAACUAAGUAGCAGGUGAUUUAGUGUUAAUCAUAAUGUUUUGUUAAUAUUGUUAAUGGGUUGAGAAAUUG